UACAGAGGGGGCAAGCGUUGUUCGGAAUUACUGGGCGUAAAGGGCGCGUAGGCGGCCUUCUAAGUCGAACGUGAAAUCCCUGGGCUCAACCCAGGAACUGCGUCCGAUACUGGGAGGCUUGAAUCCGGGAGAGGGAUGUGGAAUUCCAGGUGUAGCGGUGAAAUGCGUAGAUAUCUGGAGGAACACCGGUGGCGAAGGCGGCAUCCUGGACCGGCAUUGACGCUGAGGCGCGAAAGCUAGGGGAGCAAACGGG
rnacentral:rRNA from 1 species